rnacentral:rRNA from 1 species
UACGUAGGUGGCAAGCGUUGUCCGGAUUUACUGGGCGUAAAGAGCGCGCAGGCGGUUGGAUAAGUCGAAUGUGAAAGCCCCCGGCUCAACUGGGGAGGGUCAUUCGAUACUGUCCGACUCGAAGGCAGGAGAGGGAAGCGGAAUUCCCGGUGUAGUGGUGAAAUGCGUAGAUAUCUGGAAGAACACCGGUGGCGAAGGCGGUCGACUGGCCCUAAACUGACGCUGAGCACGAAAGCGUGGGGAGGCGA